GACGAACGCUGGCGGCGUGCCUAAUACAUGCAAGUCGAACGCAGUGGGGACGGGUGAGUAACACGUGGGUAACCUCCCAUCAGAGGGGAUAACACUUGGAAACCGGUGCUAAACCCAUACUGAUGGAUGGACCCUCGGUGCAUUAGCUAGUUGGUGAGGUAACGGCUCACCAAGGCCACGAUUCAUAGCCGACCGGUGAGGGUGAGCGGCCACACUGGAACUGAGAGACGGCCCAGACUCCUACGGGAGGCAGAAGUAGGGAAUCGUCUGCAAUGGACGAAAGUCUGACCUGGCAACGCCGCGUGGGUGAAGAAGGUUUUCGGAUAGUAAAACUCUGUUGUUAGAGAAGCGGUAUCUAACCAGAAAGCCACGGCUAACUACGUGCCAGCAGCCGCGGUAAUUC
rnacentral:rRNA from 1 species